rnacentral:rRNA from 1 species
GACAGAGGGGGCAAGCGUUGCUCGGAAUUACUGGGCGUAAAGGGCGCGUAGGCGGAAUGGCAAGUCGGUCGUGAAAUACUUCGGCUCAACCGAAGGACGUCGAUCGAAACUGCCGUUCUUGAGGAUUGCAGAGGAGACUGGAAUUCCCGGUGUAGCGGUGAAAUGUGUAGAGAUCGGGAGGAACACCGGUGGCGAAGGCGGGUCUCUGGGCAAUUCCUGACGCUGAGGCGCGAAAGCGUGGGGAGCAAACGGG